GACUACUGGGGUAUCUAAUCCUGUUUGCUCCCCACGCUUUCGUGCCUCAGCGUCAGUUCCGGCCCAGUAAGCCGCCUUCGCCACUGGUGUUCCUCCAAAUCUCUACGCAUUCCACCGCUCCACUUGGAAUUCCACUUACCCCUACCGUACUCAAGUUUGCCAGUUUCCAAUGACCCUUCACGGUUAAGCCGUGAAAUUUCACACCAGACUUAACAAACCGCCUACGCACGCUUUACGCCCAAUAAUUCCGGAUAACGCUCGCCCCAUAUGUAUUACCGCGGCUGCUGGCACAUAUUUAGCCGGGGCUUUCUAGUUAGGUACCGUCAGUAUCAACGUUUUCCACUUGUUGAUAUGUUCUUCCCUAACAACAGAACUUUACAAUCCGAAGAUCUUCAUCAUUCACGCGGCAUUGCUCGGUCAGGCUUUCGCCCAUUGCCGAAAAUUCCCUACUGCAGCCCCCCGUAGG
rnacentral:rRNA from 1 species